GGGUGGUCUGGCACUUGAACAGGCUGCUCAGGGCAGUGGUCAGGGCACCAAAGCUGGCUGGAGUUCAAGAAAAUUUGCACAGCAUUCUCAGACAUAGGGUUUGAUUUUUGUGUGGUCCUGUGUGGAGCCAGGAGUUGAACUCAAAUAUCCUUGCAGGUUCAUUCCUUCCAACCCAGGAUGUUCUAUGAUUGUAUACCCUGGAAAGUGAAAAGAAAACACCAAAUGGAAGACAUACCUAUUUUCAAGAUUCAGCUGCUGAUAAUUGGCUAGAAGGCUUUCCUACCAACAGUGCUGAUCAUUGGCAACUUUCCAAGUUUCUUAGCAGAACCUCAAAAGAACUGAUUGUGAAGAUUUUUGGAAAUUAACGUGUGCUGGAAGAGACGGGGGAGAGCUGGAUGAAGGGGAGGCAAUAUUUUUGCUCGUGGCCAGAACAACCUACGCCAGCUUCCCACAUGAGAAAGGGCAGUUCAAUACAAUAUUACCAGAACAAAAGGAGCGAGUUUUGAUGAAAGCCUUGACAGUUUAUUAUUGCUCUGCUUCUGAAAAGCAAAGUAUAUAGCUUGGAGCAAUAUAAUUUUUAUCACGACCU
rnacentral:lncRNA from 1 species